rnacentral:rRNA from 1 species
GAUGAACGCUGGCGGCGUGCCUAAUACAUGCAAGUCGAGCGAACGGACGAGAAGCUUGCCUCUCUGAUGUUAGCGGCGGACGGGUGAGUAACACGUGGAUAACCUACCUAUAAGACUGGGAUAACUUCGGGAAACCGGAGCUAAUACCGGAUAAUAUUUUGAACCGCAUGGUUCAAAAGUGAAAGACGGUCUUGCUGUCACUUAUAGAUGGAUUCGCGCUGCAUUAGCUAGUUGGUAAGGUAACGGCUUACCAAGGCAACGAUGCAUAGCCGACCUGAGAGGGUGAUCGGCCACACUGGAACUGAGACACGGUCCAGACUCCUACGGGAGGCAGCAGUAGGGAAUCUUCCGCAAUGGGCGAAAGCCUGACGGAGCAACGCCGCGUGAGUGAUGAAGGUCUUCGGAUCGUAAAACUCUGUUAUUAGGGAAGAACAUAUGUGUAAGUAACUGUGCACAUCUUGACGGUACCUAAUCAGAAAGCCACGGCUAACUACGUG